rnacentral:rRNA from 1 species
AGUGAACGCUGGCGGUAGGCCUAACACAUGCAAGUCGAACGGCAGCACAGUAAGAGCUUGCUCUUACGGGUGGCGAGUGGCGGACGGGUGAGGAAUACAUCGGAAUCUACUUUUUCGCGUGGGAUAACGUAGGUAAACUUACUCUAAUACCGCAUACGACCUACGGGUGAAAGCAGGGGAUCUUCUGACCUUUCGCGAUUGAAUUAGCCGAUGUCGGAUUAGCUAGUUGGCGGGGUAAAGGCCCAGCAAGGGGACGAUCCGUAGCCGGUCUGAGAGGAUGAUAAGCCACACUGGAAGUGAGACACGGUCCAGACUACUACGGGAGGCAGCAGUGGGGUAUAGUGGACAAUGGGCGGAAGCAUGACACAGCGAGACCGAGCGGGUGGAGGAGACGUUCGGGUCGUAAAGACCUUUUGUUGGGAAAGAAAAGCAGCAGGUUAAUACGAAGCUGUACUGACGGUACCGGAAGAAUAAGCACCGGCUAACUUCGUG